UGUUACAACCCACAUUUUUAUCUAGUCAAAGUCAAUAGUGGAAUUUUCAAAGUCAAGUCCAAUGAGGACUUGUAUGAAAUAAAUCAUUUUUAUUGGGACUUGAUUGACCAAAUCAUUUUAUUUGGGUUUAUUUUGCAAUUGGCAAAAUAUGAAGGCUGAAUUGGAUAUAUUUAAAAGUUUGGAAUUUAUAUAUAUACUUUUGGAAGUUUAAGGAUUAAAGGUUACUAAAAAGUAAAGUUAAGGGACUUAAUUUGCAAUUAUGGGAUUGUGGACAAUUAAUUCAACCUUUGACCCAUUUUUUUCUCAUUUUCACACCAAAACACACACACACACACGAAGAGAAGCAGAACCAGCCGAGAAAGAAGAGAAAAAGAGGAAAAGAAAAAGGGAAAAAAGGAAAAGAAAAAGGAAGAAGAAGGGGAAAAAGAAAAGGAAAGGAGGUAAGGUUGAUAUCUUCAAGUUGGGUUUAAUUUUUCCAUUUGUCUUAGAUGAUUAAGUAUGGUUUAUAUUAAAAUUUUUAGGGUUUUAUCAUGUAAUAAUAAAAUGUUAAAUUUAUGUGAUAUAUGUACGAUUUGGAGCUCAAGCUUAGGGAUUAAUUAUGUUUCAAUUUUAACAAGGUGUUUAGGCAAUGAAAAUUUUGGAAACCCUAGAAUCCGAUUUUGGGGAUUUUAAUUAAUUAAUUGUGGAAGUGAUUAUAUAAAUGGAAUAUUUCAUUUGGGAGUUGAUUUUAAGGAGCAAAUGUAUAUUAGAUGGGUGGAAAUUAUGGUCACUAGUUUCAUUACAUUGGAAAGAAAAAUUAGUUUUAACUUGGGAAGAAGGUUUUGUUGAUAAAUUAGUUAUUAGAAAAGGAAUUAGAAAGUGGGAUUAGCUCCAUUGAUCAAAAGAAUAUUUGGGAAUUCAUUCGAGCAUCGACCAAUUUUGGUUAAGUAUUAUAGAAGUAAAUUUUAAAGUUUCUUAAUUUAAUAGUAGUUGAUUAGCCAUCUUGUUAUGUAUUCCAGGUGGUGACGAGGAAGUUGGAAGAGCCUAUCGACCAGUUUAGGUUCAGCUUGUGUUAUGUGAGUGGAUAAAUUUAAUUAUUUUUUUAGAAAUAAGUAUUUAUUUAAUUUUGAAGUUACGUAUUUUACAAGUUGAGUUGAUAGCAUGAUUUUUUAGAAUAAAACGAAUUUUAUUAUCAAAUGUUUUUAAAAGUUAAAUUCAGUUCAGUUAAAUUCUUUCAUUGACAUAUUAUUUCAGUAUUAAUUAUUUCAGUAUAUUCAAAGUUAUUUUAAAACCACCAGAAAGUACCCAAGUGAUUUUACCCUCGUCUGCACUGGUGUGAAUGUGUUUCCACAGUGUAUGACUUCAUAUGGUUAUUUUACCCACUCUGCGCUAGUGUGAAUGUGUUUCCACAGCGUAUGAUCAGUAUAGUGAUUUUACCCGCUCUGCACUAUUGUGAAUGUGUUUCCAUAGUGUAUGACCAUUUUAUAGCUCUGCGCGCGAAUUUCAGAAUUUCAGAAUUUCAGAAUUACAGAAUUUCAGAAUUUAAUGACCUUGCUAUGUAUAUCGAGAUUAAUCGAUACACGAGUAUGGUUAUUCAGGGUACAUUUUUGGUGUGAUGCUUCAGUAUUACAUAGCUUAUCAGAUUUUAGAAAUAGAUUUUACAGUAUUUAGUUGAUUCAGUUGAAAGAAUGAAGAUUUUAAUUUAACAUAUUGUGAAAGGAAAUUUUUACUAUAUACUAGUAUUUAGAAAGGUGUUAUAAAUGAUAAAGUAUGACCUUUACAAAUAUCCACUCACUGAGUCGCUAGCUCAUAUUUUUGUCACCUCAUUUCUUAUCAGAUAGAAGCUGCGUUGAGCCAUAUCAGAGCCUGUCGUUCGACGAGUUGAGCUUCAUCGUGUCCUUGUUUGUAUGUCUCAUUUUGUUAAUCCAUACAACAUAUAUUUUGGGGGUUAAUGUAUUUUGUAUCAAAAAUGUAUUAAGUCUCAUACCCAUUGCAUAUUUUGUGUAUGUUUUGAUAUGGUAAAUUUCUUUUUCAGUACAAUUCCUUGAUGAAUUAGUAUUUUGAUGGGCUUGUGUACCCUAUUUUAAAGUAUGUGUAUAUGUUUGGGAUUUUUGGUUUUAUUCUCAGGUGGUUUUAGUCCAUUUUUCAGAGGAAACUCUGCCGAAAUUUUUAUAAAAUUAUUACAGUCAAAGCAUGUCAAGUUUGCCUUGGUGGUGGGUCCGGCAUUUAGCUGGUAUCUACCAUCGGCGCACGACACGUGUCGGAUCCAUUAGGGUGAUCGGGACGGGUCGUGUCAUU
rnacentral:lncRNA from 1 species